CAAAUAGUCCCUCCGUCCGGAAAUAGUUGUCAUCAAAAUGGAUAAAAGGAAAUGUAUCUAGACGUAUUUUAGUUUUAGAUACAUCUCUUUUUAUCCAUUUUGAUGACAAGUAUUUUCGGACGGAGGGAGUAGAAA
rnacentral:pre_miRNA from 1 species